GCUUCCCACGUUAGUGUCAUCUGUCCAUACGGGAUACCUGCUUCAGAUUGGGGCUAAAAGAGGUGUGGCUGCGUUUGUGGUGCAACAACACAACAAGUCCUGACAUUGAAGGAGCACCUCCGUGACGCGUACCAGCUGACUUCUCAUGCUCCGAUGAUCAAUGCAUCGAUCGGCCUCGCAAAGGUCGGAACCCGAGGUCCUCGCCCAAACCUGUGCGCGGACUGCAAACCCGAAACGACGUUCCGGCCUCGGGAUGAGAUCGAGUCGACAUUCCCAUCCCGGCAGCCCAUAUUGGCCCCAUCCCUGAAAGUCUGCGAGGCGUGAGAAACGAGGGGUCCCCCCGCAACGAGAUGAAAACCCGCCUGGGAGUUGGGCUUCAAGCGUGAACGUGCAGUUGAGGACUUUGGAAUGUUUACCCUAAAAUGAGCGAGAAGGCGCUAAACCAAGAUGGACGUUUGACUGGCCCUCAGCAGAUGUGUUUCUCAUGCAGAUUCUGCGAGGAGAAGUGAAAGCAUCUCGUAAAUGUUGAAUUCAUGCUGGCUGACGAGCACAUGCCUGGAAGAAACGGGCCUCUGUUUGCUGUAGACGCCUUUCACGCCAAAUUAUUCAUUUGUAAAACAACUGACAGUCUUGUUUUGGUCAUGAAUAAUACAAUGCUAGGUUGGAGAGUGGUGUCCAAGAUAAAGCAGCACCAAAAGUUCAGGCAGGGUGGUUUGAAGGGCGGUUCUCCACACUUCCACAGAUGUUCAAUUGGCUUCCCAACCCAUCUGAGAUAGGCGAAAAUUUGUUUUAAAAAGUUAGUACGCCUCCCUCCCGCUUUUAAACAAAUUCAAGCGUAUUAAAACACACUUAAACUUAUUAACACACACUUUGGCGGAAUUCCUUAGCGCCUGUUCUCACAUUCCAAGAAAUGGGAGACUAUUGUAUCACAUCACUUUGAGUAAACGGAAAGAAGAUGCUCUCGCUCACCUAGCUGAUUGUCAGUCCCAGUUGAAGUUUACUGUAAAACUGACCCAUAAAAACAUAGGGUAAUAACAUAAUUAAAUAGAAUGUAAAGAAUCAAUCAGUUAUUGCAUAAUUAUUUAAUGCUGUAGUUCAACGAAUUGCCCACCUUGGCCAGCAGGAGGCAGUAUAAUACAGUCAUGCAGAACAAACCAAGAAGAAUAGUACUACCUCUUCUUCUACCACUACUGUAUGUGAUUCAGAAAGAUGCUGUAAUCAUUUUUCCUAGAGGACAAAGAGUACAGGUAUGCUGGUGAGUCUUGUUAUAUUAUCUGUCUACAUUGUGCUGCGCCACCGUUUGUGUUCACAUAUAGGUCGCUUAAAGGAUUCCUAAACUGUGACUAUCGAUGCUAUCGGUUACCAUGCCAAUGGCGUUUUUCCAUUAUAUAUUACGCUAGCGGGCCAUUCGUAAGGCAAUGUUGUUUGGUUGUUUUAUGUAAUUCUCUUUUUAUUUUUAUUUUGACAGUAAACUUUUUGACAGUUUGUAGAAGGCCGUAAGGUUACGGCCCUCAAAACCAAACAGAAAACAUGCAAACUCCACAUAGGAUGCCCCAAGCCAAGAUUCAAACCACGGCGUGGUCUAGCGUGAUUUUCAGGGCCUUUUACUUGCAUUUAGGUGAGCUGCUGCUUACCGCGAACUCAUGCCAAAAGUGUGAGUUACCGCCCCGCCUCACUUUCAUACUUCCCCCGGAUUUCCUCACAAGUUGGCGCGCUUUCAAAGCCCCCUUGAAACAUGAUGUGUCAGCGAGCAUCGUGUUGACGACGCCGCGCGCCAAGCAUCACUUACUUGGCAAUUUUACUCCCACCAGCUGUUUCCACUCUGACGCACAAUGACAUCGUAAAAUGGAAUGAAGGUAAAACUAAGUGGACUGGAGACUGAUUAGUGGCGGAUCUCCUCACGGCGGCCAUCAGAGCAACUUUCUUGCCUUCUCGUUAAUGACGCCCGUGGAGCUGAUGCUCGAUACGAUGCUCGCUCAUUUUACCUUUGCUGUCACAACAACGUGGGGGGAAUGGAGCACGUAAUAAAUAACACACAGCCAGACCAACAGCAGGGUAAUUACAGGAUAAUGAAUGCACCUGCAUUUUGCCGACAAUGUCAGGGAGGAGGCAGAAAGUAGAGAAGAAGAAAAAAAAGUGACUUACUAUAUGCUGGAAAUCAGUGCUGUUCAUCCCAGGAGAGCUGUAACACACGCAUGCACGCGGACACACUACAAGAAUAAAAAAGUGUGUUCCUUUUAAUAGAUUCAUAUUGACUUGACUAAACAGUGUGAUGCCACUCCUGGUUGUGUCUAAAAUAAUCAAUAGAAGCAUGCGAGUAUAGAUUCAUGAAUUCUCCAAGGAGUGACAAUAGAUUUCGAGAUUUUGUUGACCAAAACUUGUAUUGAUUCACCAUGGUUACAUGGAGCCAGUUUCUGCAGCCAUUUAGUUGGAUUUUGCACCCCAAAAAAAUGGGAAUAAAAGUCGAAAGAAAAUCAAAUAAACGUAUAGUAUAUAGUUAUAUAAGUCAUGUAUGUAGUUUAAAAAAAAAUCAUGCAACAUGAAAAACAAAUUGACAUAUUUCAAAUAUAUAUUAUACACAAUAAUAAUUAAUAU